AUGAUAAUUCCAAAGGUUAAUUUUUUGUGCUGGAAUGUGAGAGGACUAAAUGACCCGGACAGACGUGCGACUGUGCACGAGACGAUCGCCUCCACCUCAUGCCACAUUGUCUGCCUUCAGGAGACCAAGAUGGAAAACAUAGAUCAGUACGUCGCCUCCUACCUUGGCGGUAAUAGACUAUGGAGCUAUGCUCAGCGUCCAGCCACUGGAUCCAGAAGAGGCCUCCUCAUGCUCUGGGAUGAUAGUGUCGUUCGCAUUUCCGAUGUCCACAUCAAUGAGUUCUGCCUUUCCGCAAUGGUCAACGUCAUUCAUUCCGAUACCCCUUUCAAGAUCACU
rnacentral:rRNA from 1 species